rnacentral:rRNA from 1 species
AAUGAACGCUGGUGGCAGACCUAACACAUGCAAGUCGAACGGUCUAUAUUAAACUUCGGUUUUUAUAGAUAGUGGCAAACGGGUGAGUAAAGCAUGGGAAUCUACCUAGAAGUUUGGAAUAGCUAUUAGAAAUGAUAGAUAAUACCAAAUACACCUCGAGAGGGAAAGUUGACUUCGGUCUUCGCUUUUAGAUGAGCCCAUGUUAAAUUAGUUAGUUGGUAGGGUAAUGGCCUACCAAGAUGAUGAUUUAUAGCUGGUCUUAGAGGAUGAUCAGCCACACGUGGAAUUGAGAUACGGUCCAGACUCCGUACGGGGAGGCAGCAGGUAGGGAAUUAGUUGGAACAAGUGGGCCACAAGCCUGACUCCAGUCAUCGCCACGUGAGUGA